UCAAAAUUUACUGGGUGAUCAAAAAGUCUCUCCGCAGUAAGCAUUUAAUGGUUUUCGGGAAAUUCUUGUACACUGAUCCUUUAUUUGUUCC